rnacentral:RNase_P_RNA from 1 species
CCCCUGUAUUGGGUAGUUGCGCUCCGAUGUAAAUCGGAGUGAGGAAAGUCCGAACACGCCCCCGACGUAAGUCGGGGAGGACGGUAGCGGGUAACACCCGUCUGGAGUAAUCCAAGGGAUGCGAGCAGUGACGCCAAGGCCGAGAGGCCGAGGGCUCCUUAGGGAGUAAUCCCGCCGAAAGGCGGGGGUGAAACGGCCAAAUUCCUAUCUGCGUGCAAGGCCGUGGUCACUUCUACCAACUGGCAGAAGUGACAGUGCCGCUUGAGGUCUUGAGCAAUCAGGAUCCUAGAUAAAUAGCUGCCGUCCCGAUGUCAUGUCGGGAUACAGAAUUCGGCUUAUAGAUACAGGGGAACA